GAGGGAGAAAGAGCGAGUUCGAGAAGAGCUUCUCACGUGCUUCGAGUGAGAGUAGCUUCUAACUGUUGAAAGGAGACCGACGGGAAGCGGGGAAGGAGAAAGCAGUAGUGCCCCUUGGAAUAGGCUCCCGGCAGGGAAGGUUGAGCAAGAUCGCUGGGGAGCACAGGAGGAAAACCCAGAAGUGGCACCAGAGCCAGCACCCCUCCCCUGAAGAAGGGCAUGGAGAAAUGCCUGGUGGCAGAUUGAAAGAGCUGCUGAAGAAGAGGGGCCACCUCUGAGGAGGCUGCAGGAGGCAACUCUAAACAUGGCUGGAGGCUGGCAUGUGACUAAAGACUCUGCCCCCUUCCAGAACACGGUGGCCGGAAAUAGGUCGAAGACACAGUGACAAAUGUGUCACACAUUAGCACACACUGGUUGAAAAGCCAGAUGGUCCACUGCACAUGGGUUUCUGGGCCGAGGCUUUAAAACAAAACACAUGGGAAAGCGCACUGUCUAGCCCUUGCCUUGCCACCCCCCCACCCCGUUGGGGUGGGGCACAGGAGCACUGUCAGGACUGGCAGAUGCCGGGUGCUUGAGGGUUUUCCCCGCCUGGUGCAGUUGGGAGCCAGCUUGCAGAGGCGGAGUUCCAUGCAGGGACACAUCUCACAGGGCACAGGCCCUGGAAAAUGCAGUGACCCUGCACCACACAGCAAGGGUCUGAGGCUGUACCCCCGCUCUUGUGCUCAGGGUAGCACAAUGAGGCGUGGGCUUGGAAUACUCACCAGCCAGGGGGAUGAGAAUAACCGUGCAGUGCUGGGCCACACGGGUGGAGCUUCCCCUGCACAACUGAUGGAAGUGAUCUUGCAGCAGCAUGAUGGGGAACUUCUGGACAUGGGUUUAGAUUCCCAUCUUUCUAGGAACUGGGGAACUUCUGUGUUUUGUGGAAGAGGUUGGCUUAGAGUAGGGAUGCUCCCCUCCCCAAUUUGGGUACCCCAUUGGUAAAAACCUUUCUCCUUCUCCACCAAUCCUCAUGUUAUGUAUGCACAUGGCAGCAGGCAACAAGACCCCAGGCUGCUUGCUUACCUUAUGUAUAAAAAUGUACUGGAAAUAGGUUUUGAAGAUAAGGUCAAUAAGGCUGCUUUGGACCUGUUAGCACACUGAGGCUCACAUAAAGCAAGCCUGGUAUUUAACCAAGACUUUGACUUCUGUAUACUGGAGUCAGUUGAAGUGAUCUGCUCUCAAACUGGGUCAGCAGGCUUAACUCCAGCCUUACAAAGUCCCAGCUUCCUCCUCCCCCUCCCAGCUCUUGAAACUGAGUCCCAAUGUUUUACCACAGCCAAACCUUAUCAAUUAUGGCAGCUGGUUUUCCAAGUAUCAAAAACUGAACUGGGCAAGAGAUAUUUUCAGGGAAUGGGAAGGAAGACGGCAAGGAUUGAAAGUUGCCAAUUGAAGGCAUUUCUCCAUUCUUAUCCUUUGAAGCCUGGCAGUAUGCAUACCCAUUCAGAUAGGAGUCCUUUUUAAACCUUUUUUUUUCUUUUAUUGGUUUCAGAGAGAGGGGAAGGGAGGGAGAAAAAGAGGGAGGAGAACAUCGAUGUGAGAGAAACAUCGAUUGGUGGCCUGGUGCAUGUGCACCAGGAUGAAACAGUGGAUGAAAGCCACAGCCCAGGCAUGUGCCUUCACUGGGAAUUGAACCUGUAACCUUUCAGUCUGCAGAAUGACACCUAAUCAACUAAGCCACACCAGCCAGGGCAGGAGUUCUUUGAUCUAGAGGCCCUGCGGCCUUCCUUCUCAUGUGAGAAGGACAGUUUGCUAUGGGUAUCCUUCAAACUGGAUAGGCCUGCUUUUUUCCCUGACCCUUCUGCUAAGAGAGAAUUGCCUAUUUUUUACCCCUAUAUUUCUAUUCAGCUCACUCCUAAAAGAAUGUUUAGGAUAUUAAACUGCUCUGUAGCUAUGCCAUGUUUGUAAGCAAGCAGUCUGUGAUACUAUUUUCUAGAUUUUAGAAACCUUUUGUACAAGUGCUCAUUGACCCUAACCCCAGCUGCUACUCCAUGCCAGUUAGAAGGAGUUUUCAGUCUUUCUUGGGAUACUUGGUGUGUAAAUAGGCCCUGUUACUGUUUAAAUACCUCUCACUAACAGGAAUACAUUUUAUACCACAACAGGUUUUCAAUAAAUGUUCAUUUCCUUUAUUCCCAGUACUUUAAACACAAACUCACCCACAUACUGUUGUGAAAUUAUGUUUACCUUUACCAAAUACAAUGUUGUCUGCUA